AAAACUUUCAACAACGGAUCUCUUGGUUCUGGCAUCGAUGAAGAACGCAGCGAAAUGCGAUAAGUAAUGUGAAUUGCAGAAUUCAGUGAAUCAUCGAAUCUUUGAACGCACAUUGCGCUCCUUGGUAUUCCGAGGGGCAUGCCUGUUCGAGCGUCAUUAC
rnacentral:rRNA from 1 species